rnacentral:rRNA from 1 species
UUUUGUGACGGUACCUAGAUAAGAAGCACCGGCUAACUACGUGCCAGCAGCCGCGGUAAUACGUAGGGUGCGAGCGUUGUCCGGAAUUACUGGGCGUAAAGGGCUCGUAGGUGGUUUGUCGCGUCGUCUGUGAAAUUCUGGGGCUUAACUCCGGGCGUGCAGGCGAUACGGGCAUAACUUGAGUGCUGUAGGGGUAACUGGAAUUCCUGGUGUAGCGGUGAAAUGCGCAGAUAUCAGGAGGAACACCGAUGGCGAAGGCAGGUUACUGGGCAGUUACUGACGCUGAGGAGCGAAAGCAUGGGUAGCGAACAGGAUUAGAUACCCUGGUAGUCCAUGCUGUAAACGGUGGGCGCUAGGUGUGAGGGUUUUUCUACGAUUCUCGUGCCGUAGCUAACGCAUUAAGCGCCCCGCCUGGGGAGUACGGCCGCAAGGCUAAAACUCAAAGGAAUUGACGGGGGCCCGCACAAGCGGCGGAGCAUGUGGAUUAAUUCGAUGCAACGCGAAGAACCUUACCUGGGCUUGACAUACAUCAGAUCGCUGCAGAGAUGUAGUUUCCCUUUUGUGGUUGGUGUACAGGUGGUGCAUGGUUGUCGUCAGCUCGUGUCGUGAGAUGUUGGGUUAAGUCCCGCAACGAGCGCAACCCUUGUCUUAUGUUGCCAGCAUUUGGUUGGGGACUCAUGAGAGACUGCCGGGGUUAACUCGGAGGAAGGUGGGGAUGACGUCAAAUCAUCAUGCCCCUUAUGUCCAGGGCUUCACACAUGCUACAAUGGUCGGUACAACGCGUUGCGACACUGUGAGGUGGAGCGAAUCG